AAGGCUUGAUAAGCUCGAGAAUCUGUCGUGAGUCUGAGUGCGCUGCUCCCCAUUGGAUUAUUUGCUAUUUGUCGUUUCGUAACAGCCACAGUAAACAAUAAAAUGUAAUACAAAAUAUGUAAUAUUAAGUGCAUAGUUCGUUGGCAUUGAAUAUAUGUAGGUAUGUAAUGUAAAAGAUUCCAUAAUUUUAUAAAUAUAAAUGCAAGCUUGUAGCUAAAGGACAUUUGAAAGUUUAAAAAAUGUAUUUCAAAUAAUUAUUUUAUAAAUAAAAAGACCUGAACAGCGCCUCGUAGGGGUGAAAAUACUGCUCAAGCCUUGUAACUAACCUCAAAGGGAUGCUUCACAAAGCAGAAGGCGAAAACUAUAUUUUGCGGCGAAAAAAAGAAACUUUACUAGACUAGCUGUCUUAUUAUAAGACAUUAAGCAACUAAAGAAACAUCAAGGAAUAUCAAAAAGUCAGGCCACCAACAUACGGAGAAAUUCGGUGAAGUUCACUACACUUUUAAACUGAUAGAUCGAAGAUUCUGAUUUGCUUAUCUACACUCUCAUGCUUUCAAGCUAUUAUUGGCUUGUGCAUACGCAGAGGCCGCUUGUAAGAUGGAUUUUUGUGACGAUUCUUCCGACGCAUAUCGAUAUCUAAGUAUGAGUUGUCAGUAUCGAACAAAACGAGCAACUCCAAGAUGAAGCUCCCUGCUGUGCACAAAUUAUAUAAUUUCGGACUAGAAUUAUAUAAAAAAUUCUGCGAAAAAAAUUAAAUGAAAAAACUGAUUCUAAUUUAAUUCACUAAAAAUAAAGUAAUAAGCUCACAAUGUAU